CCUUCCAACGAUCAAGCACAUUCUCACCUCAGAACCCUUUCCUGGAUGUCCUUCCCUUAGAUAGCUGCAUCCCAUCACGCCUUCAAAUCUGCGAUCGCUUUCUCCAUUAUUUUCAGAUCAAUCAACAUUUCCCCCAUGGCUCCUAAUAUUGAACCUCACUCACAUUGCUGCGGUACAGCUCAUAAAACGUCAGGAGGAUUUCUUCCAGAAGCGAUUCCCUAGAAGGAUUAUACUUUGCCUCGAAAGAAAAACUGCGCUUUAUCUUGUCAACCACAAGGAGGAGUUGACAGAGAGUUGAGCAAAGAAAAAUCAGGCAAUUCGGUCCCUGGACUAAAACCAAAUCUCAGCUCUGUCACUAAGGCAUCGACACCCGAUUCGUGUACCCCCUGAUCGAUUUCCCAAGUGCUUCGGACUCACCGCCACCUGUUGAUGCCCACGUUGGAAGAGCCUGCGAACCAGGGGUCGAGGAUGUAGACGCAGCG